rnacentral:rRNA from 1 species
AUGGGCGCAAGCCUGAUCCAGCAAUGCCGCGUGUGUGAAGAAGGCCUUCGGGUUGUAAAGCACUUUUGGCGGGAGCGAAACGGCGUUUGCUAAUACCAGACGCUAAUGACGGUACCCGCAGAAUAAGCACCGGCUAACUACGUGCCAGCAGCCGCGGUAAGACGUAGGGUGCGAGCGUUAAUCGGAAUUACUGGGCGUAAAGCGUGCGCAGGCGGCUUUGUAAGACAGGUGUGAAAUCCCCGGGCUUAACCUGGGAACUGCACUUGUGACUGCAAGGCUAGAGUGUGUCAGAGGGAGGUGGAAUUCCGCGUGUAGCAGUGAAAUGCGUAGAUAUGCGGAGGAACACCGAUGGCGAAAGCAGCCUCCUGGGAUAACACUGACGCUCAUGCACGAAAGCGUGGGGAGCAAACAGGAUUAGAUACCCUGGUAGUCCACGCCCUAAACGAUGUCAACUAGUUGUCGGGGAUUCGUUUCCUUGGUAACGCAGCUAACGCGUGAAGUUGACCGCCUGGGGAGUACGGCCGCAAGGUUAAAACUCAAAGGAAUUGACGGGGACCCGCACAAGCGGUGGAUGAUGUGGAUUAAUUCGAUGCAACGCGAAAAACCUUACCUGCGCUUGACAUGCCAGGAACCCCGAAGAGAUUUGGGGGUGCCCGAAAGGGAGCCUGGACACAGGUGCUGCAUGGCUGUCGUCAGCUCGUGUCGUGAGAUGUUGGGUUAAGUCCCGCAACGAGCGCAACCCUUAUCCUUAGUUGCUACGCAAGGGCACUCUAAGGAGACUGCCGGUGACAAACCGGAGGAAGGUGGGGAUGACGUCAAGUCCUCAUGGCCCUUAUGCGCAGGGCUUCACACGUCAUACAAUGGUCGGUACAGAGGGUCGCCAACCCGCGAGGGGGAGCCAAUCCCAGAAAGCCGAUCGUAGUCCGGAUUGCAGUCUGCAACUCGACUGCAUGAAGUCGGAAUCGCUAGUAAUCGCGGAUCAGCAUGUCGCGGUGAAUACGUUCCCGGGUC